rnacentral:rRNA from 1 species
AGUACUCGAGUGGCGAACGGGUGAGUAACACGUGGGUAAUCUGCCCUGCACUCUGGGAUAAGCCUGGGAAACUGGGUCUAAUACUGGAUAUGACCUUUCUCCUUAUGGGGUUUGGCGGAAAGUUUUUCGGUGUAGGAUGAGCCCGCGGCCUAUCAGCUUGUUGGUGGGGUGAUGGCCUACCAAGGCGACGACGGGUAGCCGGCCUGAGAGGGUGAUCGGCCACAUUGGGACUGAGAUACGGCCCAG